rnacentral:rRNA from 1 species
AGGUAGGGAUACCCGCUGAACUUAAGCAUAUCAAUAAGCGGAGGAAAAGAAACCAACAGGGAUUGCCUUAGUAACGGCGAGUGAAGCGGCAAAAGCUCAGAUUUGAAAUCUGGUAUCAAAUUGAUACUCGAGUUGUAAUCUGUAGAGGAGUUUUCGGAGUACGGCUUUGGUUAAAGUUCCUUGGAAAAGGGCAUCAUAGAGGGUGAGAAUCCUGUUUAUGACCAGUGUCUGUCUCCAUUAUGAACCUCCUUCAAUGAGUCGAGUUGUUUGGGAAUGCAGCUCUAAAUGGGUGGUAAAUUCCAUCUAAAGCUAAAUAUUGGCAAGAGACCGAUAGCGCACAAGUAGAGUGAUCGAAAGAUGAAAAGAACUCUGAACAGAGAGUUAAAGAGUACGUGAAAUUGUUGAAAGGGAAGCACUUGUGACCAGACAAAUUUACGGUUAAUCAGCCAUCAAUUCUUGGUGUUGCACUUAAUUGUAGAUGGGUCAGCAUCAGUUAUAGUAGUGGAACAAAGAUCAAAGGAAUGUAGCUCCUCUUUGAGGAGUGUUAUAGCCUUNGGU